GCUAGCAUGGUGUAGUGGUUUGCGUGUUUGACUAUGACUCUGGAGACCAGGUUUCAAAUCCUUGCUCACC